rnacentral:rRNA from 1 species
AGCGGAGGAAAAGAAACUAACAAGGAUUCCCCUAGUAACGGCGAGUGAAGAGGGAAGAGCCCAAGAUUGAAAGCUGGCGUCUUCGGCGUCCGCAUUGUAAUCUCAAGAAGUGUUUUCCGCUUCGGACCAAGCCUAAGUCCCUUGGAAAAGGGCAUCAUAGAGGGUGAUAAUCCCGUACAUGGCUUGGAGCGCCCGAAGCUUUGUGAUACGCUUUCUAAGAGUCGAGUUGUUUGGGAAUGCAGCUCAAAAUGGGUGGUAAAUGCCAUCUAAGGCUAAAUAUUGGGGAGAGACCGAUAGCGAACAAGUACAGUGAUGGAAAGAUGAAAAGAACUUUGAAAAGAGAGUUAAACAGUACGUGAAAUUGCCAAAAGGGAAGGGUAGGAGGUCAGAGAUGCGGCCUGGGAUUCAGCCUUGCUUUUGCUUGGUGUUUUUCCCAGAUUGCAGGCCAACGUCGGUUUUGGGCACUGGAGAAGGGUAGGAGGAACGUGGCACCUCUCGGGGUGUGUUAUAGCCUCCUACUGGAUACAGCGACCGAGACCGAGGACAGCAGCGUACUCGCAAGAGCGGGCCUUCGGGCACCUUUACGCUUAGGGCGUUGGCAUAAUGGCCCUCUACCACCCGUCUUG